rnacentral:lncRNA from 1 species
GGUCGAAAAGUUCAAGGGGGCCGAAUACUUUCGCAAGGCACUGUAAGUCUACCUGACGAGUCUGUCCCGAGCUUACUGGUGUGGGAAACUCUGGGGGCCCAGAAUAUUUUGUGUUACAAGUCUGCUAGUGUGAGCUUCGGGCUGGACCCAAGUUGAUCGUUGAUACAAUGUUUAAAGUUCGUUGCAGACAGGCCAUGCAUAGCCAAUGUGAUUUAUGGGAGAUUUUGUUUUUAUUUGUUGGCUUUAUGUAGGUUUGUAUAAUUUUCAUUUAGAGUUGGAUAGAAUUUUUGAUUAAUCACAUCCCAAUGAAUUUGAGAUGCAAAGACGUUAUUUAUCAAUUAAAUGAAACUGUAACACAAAUGUUCAUAUGAAAACCAUAACUGGCACGCUGAUCGGUAGAAAUUGUAAGACAAAUUUGCAUUCCACAUGAAAAUAGUUGCAGACUCUUAGUGUAGCCUAUUACCGGCAACUUCAGGAGAGUAAAUGGCAGAACCUGCGAAAGCCAGUAGGAGCGGGAGGAGGUUGGUCUGGUCAGCUUUUUAUUUUCUGAUGAUCUUAAUCUCUGCUCCCUCUUGAGUCAUUUGUGUCUUAUUUCAUCAAACAGCAUCAGACAAGCAUAUAGUUGAUUUUAUUAAAACACAGGGUGGGUCUAUAUAUGGAAAAAUACAUGUUUAAAAAAAAAAGUCAACCAAUCGAGUGGUCGAAAGAACAGACGACUUUUGGUCACCAAGAUUUUUUUGCUGUAGGGGACAGCCCUACAAUGUACCUAGAGGAGGACGGGAGCUAGCUGUCCUCCGGCUCCACUAUGGUGCUACCCUACAGAGGGCUGUUGAGGCUACUGUAGACCUUCAUUGCAAAACAGUGUGUUUUAAUCAAUUAUUUGGUGACAUGAAUAUAUUUAGUAUAGUUUUAUCUGAAAAGGAUAACUUUUUUUGUAUGUUUCACUAUUUCUGUUUUUAUGGAAUUCACUGAGGAGGAUGGUCCUCCCCUUCCUCCUCUGAGGAGCCUCCACUGGUACAAUGCUGGCUGAUCAGAUCAGACACUUGGAGAAGACCACAAUUCUCCAAUCGCUCCUGCAGGACUUUGUAUCUCUAUCCUGCUUCAACAUGCCAAGUGUGAAAGACUGUCAUGGAGGGAAAAGCUGUACUGCUGGAUUUUCCCAAGCCACUGACCUAAUUCAAGUCCUUAAAAGCAUGGAGGAAAGAGGAAGACUUAUUGCUCAGAGCACAAGUAAAGACUCAAAAAGAGGGACUCCUAUUCGCCUCAACAAGCGAUGUCUGAGGAUCAUUGAGUCCAAGAAGCCUUGACUGAUGAUUCCCAAACAUCAGCACCUUUAAGUACCAGUUACUAGAAUGGGAAUGCAAUGCAUCUGUCCAACAUCACCCUCUAUUGUGGUUUUUAAGAUUUUAAGCCUUAAGAUGAUAAAUGUGGCAGAAGGACUUGAUUUGCUGCUGUUCGGUAUAGGAGGGAAUUCCAAAUACCUUCCAACUUUUCCCCAAAUCUUUGACCUCAACUGUAAAUAAUGAUUCACAACUAGAGUAGUACGGAAUUCUUCUGCUGAGGGUACAAUGAUCCCUGACAACAAUUUAAUAUAUUUAUAUUGAGUCUUUGUACUUCUAGAUUAAAACCCUUGAAUAUUACCAGUCUCUGUUAUUUCAUUGUCUCACAUUACAAGAUUCCCUUAAGGUGCAUUAUUUUUUUAGCCAAUUGCAUUUCUAAAAUUGCUCAAGAGGUGGCACCCUUCUACCUUUAACAGUAAGGUAAUUGACAUUCACACACUCAUUUGUUAUUUUUCUUAGUUUUAGUUUGUCAUGAAUUGAUCAUGUUGAAGUAAACAGUGUGGGAUUUUCACUUCUUACCUAAAGGCUUGAAAUGUUAAUAUUGUGUCAGAUGAUGAUCAUCAUUUACCUACCUUGUCACUACAAUCAGA